rnacentral:rRNA from 1 species
UACAGAGGUCCCAAGCGUUGUUCGGAUUCACUGGGCGUAAAGGGUGCGUAGGUGGUGAGGAAAGUCGGAUGUGAAAUCUCCAAGCUCAACUUGGAAACUGCAUUGGAAACUACCUUGCUAGAGGAUUUGAGGGGGGAUUGGAAUACUUGGUGUAGCAGUGAAAUGCGUAGAUAUCAAGUGGAACACCAGUGGCGAAGGCGAGUCCCUGGACGACUCCUGACACUGAGGCACGAAAGCUAGGGGAGCAAACAGG